GCCCUUGUUGUCUAAUGGUUAUGACGUCAGACUUCUACCACUAGAAAAAUCUGGAAGUUCGGGGUUCGAGUCCCCGCUAGGGUU
rnacentral:tRNA from 1 species